AGUGAACGCUGGCGGUAGGCCUAACACAUGCAAGUCGAACGGCAGCACAGUAAGAGCUUGCUCUUACGGGUGGCGAGUGGCGGACGGGUGAGGAAUACAUCGGAAUCUACUUUUUCGUGGGGGAUAACGUAGGGAAACUUACGCUAAUACCGCAUACGACCUACGGGUGAAAGCAGGGGAUCUUCGGACCUUGCGCGAUUGAAUUAGCCGAUGUCGGAUUAGCUAGUUGGCGGGGUAAAGGCCCACCAAGGCGACGAUCCGUAGCUGAUCUGAGAGGAUGAUCAGCCACACUGGAACUGAGACACGGUCCAGACUCCUACGGGAGGCAGCAGUGGGGAAUAUUGGACAAUGGGCGCAAGCCUGAUCCAGCCAUACCGCGUGAGUGAAGAAGGCCUUCGGGUUGUAAAGCCCUUUUGUUGGGAAAGAAAAGAAGCAGGUUAAUACCCCGCUGUUCUGACGGUACCCAAAGAAUAAGCACCGGCUAACUUCGUG
rnacentral:rRNA from 1 species